rnacentral:rRNA from 1 species
CCCACAGGCCGUAAACCCAAGGUUUCCAGGGGAAGGUUCGUCCGCCCUGGGUUAGUCGGGACCUAAGCUGAGGCCGAAAGGCGUAGGUGAUGGACAACAGGUUGAUAUUCCUGUACUACCGAUAACCGUUUGAGAGAAGGGAUGACACAGUAGGAUAAGCUAAGCACACUGUUGGUUAUGUGUGCCCAAGCAUUGAGGCAGUCAAAGUAGGCAAAUCCGCUUUGAUAAUGCUGGGAUGUGAUGGGGAGCGAAAUUUAGUAGCGAAGUAGCUGAUUUCACACUGUCAAGAAAAGUCUCUAUCGAGGUUAAAGGUACCCGUACCGCAAACCGACACAGGUGGGUGAGGAGAGUAUCCUAAGGCCAGCGAGAGAACUGUUGUUAAGGAACUCGGCAAAAUGACCCCGUAACUUAGGGAUAAGGGGUGCCACCAUCAGGUGGCCGCAGAGAAUAGGCCCAAGCGACUGUUUACCAAAAACAUAGGUUUCUGCUAAGUCGCAAGACGAUGUAUAGGAGCUGACGCCUGCCCGGUGCUGGAAGGUUAAGGGGAUCUGUUAGAGCAAUCGAAGCAGUGAACUUAAGCCCCAGUAAACGGCGGCCGUAACUAUAACGGUCCUAAGGUAGCGAAAUUCCUUGUCGGGUAAGUUCCGACCCGCACGAAAGGCGUAACGAUUUGGGCACUGUCUCAACAACAGACUCGGUGAAAUUGUAAUUCCGGUGAAGAUGCCGGAUACCUGCGACAGGACGGAAAGACCCCAUGGAGCUUUACUGUAGCUUGACAUUGGGUCUUGGUACUACAUGUACAGGAUAGGUGGGAGGCUUUGAAACCAGGACGCCAGUUUUGGCGGAGCCAUCCUUGGGAUACCACCCUUGUAGUACUGGGACUCUAACCAUAGGCCAUGAAUCUGGUCUUGGGACACUGUCAGG